AAGGAUUUAAGUUAAAUAAACUUGUAGCCUUCAAAGCUAUCUAUAAAGGUCCUCUUUAAGCCUUA
rnacentral:tRNA from 1 species